rnacentral:rRNA from 1 species
CAGUAGCCGCGGUAAGACGAACCGUGCGAACGUUAUUCGGAAUCACUGGGCUUAAAGCGCGUGUAGGCGGAUGGGGACGUCGGUAGCUGAAAGCCCCCGGCUCAACCGGGGAAGUGGCGCCGGAACGCCCCGUCUGGAGGGACGUAGGGGGACCUGGAACUUCCGGUGGAGCGGUGAAAUGCGUUGAGAUCGGAAGGAACGCCCGUGGCGAAAGCGAGGUCCUGGACGUCUACUGACGCUGAGACGCGAAAGCUAGGGGAGCGAACGGGAUUAGAGACCCCAGUAGUCCCUGUCUCUUAUA